rnacentral:rRNA from 1 species
AGCAGCCGCGGUAAUUCCAGCUCCAAUAGCGUAUAUUAAAGUUGUUGCAGUUAAAAAGCUCGUAGUUGAAUUUCGGAAUCGACGGAUUGGGUCGCGCCUUCGGUGUGUACUGGUCUUGCCGGUUUCUCCCUUCUGACGAACCACGAUGUCAUUAAUUUGGUGUCGUGGGGAAUCAGGACUGUUACUUUGAAAAAAUUAGAGUGUUUAAAGCAGGCAUUAGCUUGAAUACAUUGGCAUGGAAUAAUGAAAUAGGACGUUUGACCUUAUUUUGUUGGUUUCUAGGAUCGACGUAAUGAUUAAUAGGGAUAGUUGGGGGCAUUAGUAUUCAAUUGUCAGAGGUGAAAUUCUUGGAUUAUGAAGACUAACUACUGCGAAAGCAUUUGCCAAGGAUGUUUCUAUUAAUCAAGAACGAAAGUUAGGGAUCGAAGACGAUCAGAUACCGUCGUAGUCUUAACCAU